ACAGCCUAUCACACUGGUAAACGAAGGCGGGCGUUUGUGUAACCAUGGAUUCCAGCGACACAUCCUGUUUUUGUUGAAUCUGUAAAAAUGAAAAAUCGGCCUUGAAUAUGUUAAUUGCCGUGAUCAAAGUAAAGGGCUAUCAUUUCUAUUUUUAUUUCAGAUCAUUUAAAUAUGAAUUUAAUUUUUUGGAACGGUUGAGAAAUGUGUCUGCUGCUCGGAGCUACUGGUGUAGGAAAGACGCUACUGCUAAAGACUGCAAAAUAUCCUUUUAUCUGCGUUAUUUGUAAUUUAAAAUAAUUUGCAACACGAACAGAAACAGUUGCAUAUUUUUACGAAUCAGUCUGAAGGACAACCACGCAGAGCUGGGGGAGUCACCAGGCACCUUACCUACAUUCAUGAUAGAUGCUGCCAACACAACCCAGGUCUCCUCCUCAUGCAUUCAGCUUCUCUCUGUCCUCUCGGCAGAAGCAUUGGAAAGCACCUCCAUCUUAAUACUCUUCAAUAAAGUUGACAUCCUUUGCCCUAUGUCCCUUGUGGAAAUGAAGUCCUUGUUCAGACUCGAUGACAUCAUCUGUGCUAGGCAGCCAAUCACCGUGCUGGGAAUAAGUGCCUGCAAUGGUCAGGGCCUUCAGGACAUCCUAAAGUGGCUGCACUCCAUACAGGAGUAAUAACCUGAACCCAAAUGGACUGUUAUAAUGCAUUGAAGUGGCUGCUACUGCACAUAGACCAGCAACAGCAAAUGAAGACAUGGAAAAGACUGCACUGACUGCCCUAGCCUCCAAAGAGCCCAGAUCAGAACAAUAAAGAACAGCGGUUUCCAUCCUUUACCAAGGCGGGACCAAUACCUGCUUGGGAUCAAGUGCUGUAGCUCUGUGAUUGGUCUACCGGAAUUCUUCUUACCUGGGUGUUUAAAUGAUUCUGGUUGGGAUCUAUCCACCGAUUUGUAUUCAAAUGAACCCAAAGCUAUGAGACAAACACAAGCCCAAGUUUGCACACUCUUUCAUACUUGUUGUAACUGUACUUUACAUUAAGAUUGUACAUUUGAGAUAAAAUUGUCCAUUUGGGGCAGCAGUGUGGAGUGGUGGUUAGGGCUCUGGACUCUUGACCGGAGGGUCGUGGUUCAAUCCCAGGUGGGGGACACUGCUGCUGUACCCUUGAGCAAGGUACUUUACCUAGAUCGCUCCAGUAAAAACCCAACUGUAUAAAUGGGUAAUUGUAUGUAAAAAUAAUGUGAAAAAAAAAAUGUAAUUGUAUGUAAAAAUAAUGUGAUAUCUUGUAACAAUUAAGUCGCCCUGGAUAAGGGUGUCUGCUAAGAAAUAAAUAAAAAUAAAAGU